AAAAAAUCCAAACCCUAACCGGUCGGCACGCUUCCGGUUCAAAAUAGUAAGAGUUUUGUGACGGUUCAGGUGGUUCUAGGCAAAUUACAAUCCGAAGAGUCCACAGCUGGCUGCCUCCCUCCCCAGUCCCCACCAUCACUAAUCCGAAGAGAUGGCCUUUACCCUCCUCCCCUCCUUGGUAAUCAGCUUCUAUUACACGUACCUGUUCUGUUGAUUGUUCAAAAUUUUAGUUGCUGCCUUUUGAUUUCAUGUAAUUUUAAAAAUAUUAUAUGUACCUGAGCUACACUGCAGAACAUAUUUGUUACAAGAAGAUAACUUGAAACUUAAUAAUGAACACUUGUAUGCAUGAAAAGAAAGGAAGAUGAUCAAUAAUGAUUUAACAGGAGGUAGUUAAAUGCCAAGUGAUCAACACCAUUUACAUUCAGUCAAUGAAAUGUAUAUUUCCUUGAAUCAAUAUUCCUUUAGCUCUCUACCGACUGAACUCUUGAUGGCGUUCCCACCCCACCGGCAAUCCUCUCCCCUGCCUCACCAAAGCCUUCCAGUUUUUUACUGUAAACCAGUCAUCAAAGGUAUGCCUACUAACGUGUUUUAAACUCCCUAUUGAAUGCAUGAAGUUGUGCUGGAUUCAUACUAGUAUAUUUUUAAUCCACUGUUAGGUCUUUCUAAUAAAUGCAGCCAACCAACCAAAUGCAUCAUCAAGGAUACCUCUACCUCUUUACAAAUGCAACCUAUCUUACCACUUGCACCUAAUGACUAUGUGGAGUUUGGAUACCCUGGGCUGGGUACAUUGAUGAUUUUUGGCAAUCCAUGAAUGUUCUCCCUACUCCGGUGACAUCAUCUUUCGAUACAAGGGUUGGAGACUGGGGAAGCAGAAAAAUGGUUGCGCGAGUGAGGGAGUACACUACUCACGACCCUAGGCGUCCACUACUUGUUAAUUCGAAAACGUAGAAUAGAUAGCUGCAUUCCAAAGAGGCUGCUUUCCUUAUCAAGUUUGUAGAUGAUCAGAUGUGAAAGUCUUACUAUGCGCCAUCGCCAUCGCCAUGCGUUGGACGUUGGAAAGGGGCUUUUUCUCGAUUAAGCGAAUCAUGGAGGGGUCGCAUGGCGCAUGGUUGGUGUGGUGGUCUCUUCUUUUUUUGUGACAUUGCUAGCAGGGAAAUUAUAAAGUAGCUUCUCUUUUAUACACUUGAAAUUAGCAAUGCUCAUUGACCUACCUGUAUAAAGCUCAUCAUAAUCAUGUGCAGUUUUUCUUUACAUUCCAUUAUUCCAUAAAUAUUGCAAUAAAAUUGGACUUCUAA